UUUCUCGGUGUUCUUCAUAUUUGCUCUUAGACCAUAGAGUUGAAAAAGCCAUCGACGAACAAAAGCUUCCGGCAGCAUCUGCAAAUAUGGCGGCACUGAAUUGUAUAGACCUCUCCGAUUCCGACAUACAAAAAUCUGUUUCUCUCCUCAGACAGGCUUGCUUGGACUCUGGAUUUUUUUAUGUAGUCAAUCAUGGUAUCAGCCCAGAAUUUAUGGAUGAGGUCUUUUCUCAAAGCAAAAGGUUCUUUAGUCUACCACUUGAUGAAAAGAUGAAGCUUCUCAGGAAUGAAAAAAACCGUGGUUACACUCCUCUUCUAGAUCAGCAUCUGGAUCCUGCCAACCAGAUACAUGGAGAUUAUAAAGAAGGAUAUUCCAUUGGUGUGGAAGUACCAGAAGAUGAUCCUCAAGCCGAAAAACCACUUCAUGGACCAAACUUGUGGCCUACAGCAGAUAUUUUGCCUGGAUGGAGAGAAACUAUGGAGAGAUACCACCGCGAAGCACUUGAGGUUGCAAGGGCAGUUGCUAGAAUUAUAGCCCUAGCACUUGACCUGGAUGGAAACUUUUUUGAUCAAUCAGAAAUGCUAGGCGAUCCUAUUGCAAUUUUGCGGCUGCUACAUUAUGAAGGUAAAAUCUCUGAACCAGAGAGAGGAAUAUAUGGUGCAGGUGCCCACAGUGACUUUGGCUUGCUUACCUUGUUAGCCACAGAUGAUGUCACUGGUCUUCAGAUAUGCAAGGACAAGCAUGUUGAGCCUCAGAUUUGGGAAUACGUGUCACCAGUAAAAGGAGCAUUUAUUGUGAAUCUUGGAGAUUUACUGGAGCGCUGGAGCAAUUGUUCUUUUAGGUCAACACUACAUCGAGUCUUGGUUGGCGGUCAAGAAAGAUAUUCUCCAUAGCUUUACAGAUACAGUGGACAUUACAAGCUCAGCUGAUUUCUCCAUGAGAAAUUUAGUUCUGUAAGCAGCGAUCAGUGCCUUGCUAAUUUCUUCUCUCUGUGAUGGUGGGCAGAUUGCUUUCUUCGCGCUGCCCAGUUUCAAUUGUGUUGUCAAAUGCUUGCCAACCUGCCACUCAGAGGAUGAUCCUCCGAAGUAUGUAUUGCAUUUAGAUACAUGAUAUGGGAUUUUGUAGGUCAUUGUUAUCCUUCUUUUAGUUGUUUUGGCCAGAAGAGAUCUGCUAUUGGUUGCAAUGUUCACGUACGUAAAAGGUUUGGUCGUUAAUUCUCAAUUACAAGUUUUGUCUUUUUUUCGUCAAAAAUCGCUCUUGGAACCGGUAAUAGUAGAUGCCAAGCUAUUUAGUUAGUAAAUUUAGUUUGACCUCUGACAUCCCACCCAAGGUGGAUCAGCGGAAAACUUUUUUGUAUGUUUUGGCCAGAUGUAAUGGUCUUAUUGUGCCAUUGAUUUAUUGUAUCUGUAUUCAGGUUCCCACCCGUCACAUGUGGAGCUUACUUGAUGCAGAGAUAUGAAGAUACGUAUGGUGAUCAGAGCUCCUAGGAUAGUUCGACCCUUGAUUGGCAAGGCAUCAGUUGUUUCAUGUAACGGAUGUUAUAAAAGAGAUUAUGUGCAGAGACUUUAGCGGAAAUCAGCCUUCUUGCAGAGAAUUGGAAGUAUAUUCUUGCCAGCUUAAAUUUUCAGGACCAUCACUCUGUACAAUUGGAGCUAGCAAAUUUAAUAUCGAUCACAAUUUAAAUUUUGCUCGAUACCUGCACAGUUGGUUUGAAAAUGAUACAUAUGCUCGAAAGUUAGUUACGUAAUUGAGGUCAAGCAAUUUUACAACAUCACAAGCAUUGUUGAUAGCAAAUUCAAAGAGAAUAUGGAUAUUCAAAUAUACAAUCAUGCGUACGGUAAACUUACUCUAUUUAAUUUAAUUACUGCACAAAUUUUUUAAAUUUAUAAUCGUAACCUAUACCUUCUUUCAUUUUUACUAGAUUAAAUAUUUUCGAAUACUCGUUUAUAUUCAGAACAUUAACAUAGAAAACAUGUUCUAUGAGCUAUGCAAAAAUUGUAGAUAACUAUGUAAAGGUCGUUUUCAAAAACAGUGUGUAUGCAUUGUAAUGACGUGGUCGACACUGUUGUUAGGUAAUUAAUUUCAACAAAUUUUUCUGUAUUGUAUAUAACAUUUUAGUUGUCAAACAGGUACAAUGUUAAUAUAUAAAUCAAAGAUUCCAGUGGUAA